ACCUUUGGGAGAAAAUAGCACAAGGAGUUUAUUGCAGUCAAUAUACCCGCUGUUUCCGGCUUGACAUGAAGUUAUGUAUUUGGAUCAUAGGCUAGGACUUCCCCUUUGGCAAUUUGCAAACAGUUGUAACUCAUAUUUGUAACACAUAAACGUAUGGACGUGUAUGUAUUAUUCUUCAAAUUUGUGCAUUCCUAUAUGCUUGAAUUUUAGCAGUAAACAUGAUGUUCAUUGUGGGUAAACACGCCUGAGCUGGCUUUGUAGAUAUAGUAUGAACAAGAUUUGUGUAUUGGUUCACAAAGGUUCCUGUAAUGUAAUUUUGGCCUUUGAAAUGAACAUGGUUUAUAUUAACUUGUGUAUGGAAGUGUAAGCUAGAUCAGUGGAUUAAUGAUUUAUUGAUCAA
rnacentral:lncRNA from 1 species